rnacentral:sRNA from 1 species
UAGUCUGUUUGGGCUGCUGUAAUAGAAUACCUUAGACUGGGUGGCUUACGCACAGCAGGAAUUUAUUUCUCACAGUUCUGGAGGCUGGAGGCUCGAGAUCAGGGUGCCAGCGCAUUCAGGUUGUGGUGACGGCGCUCUCCCGGGUUGCACAGGGCCAGCUUCCUAACCGUGUUCUCACGUGGUGAUCCACUCACCUCCCUAGAGGCCCCACCUCGUCAUACCAUCCCUGUGGGUUAUAAUUUCAACGUAGGGAUUUGGGGAGGACACCAAUAUUCAGACCAUAGCAACCCUCUGCUUCCUCUUGUCUUGCUGGAAUGGAACUGGCCUGUCUUCCCUACUGGAAUAUAAACUCCAUGAUGGUAGAAGCCAUGUUGCUUUGCCCACCAUGGGUAGCAUGCGGAAGACGCCGGACUCUUCCUUAAAUAGAUACGUGUGUGAAUGGACAGCGGGCUCAUGAUUCACGUAAGAGUCAACAGCUCCGGAAGCCUCUUGGCGUCACUCGCAUUGCUCCUCUGCCGACUCCCGAAGGUUCUCAAGGGUAGGGUGUACCAUAUUUCUUUUGCAACCCCAGCACCAAGCAAAGCACCUGCUACUUCGUCGGUAUUCAUUGUUCCGGCUAUGAAAGCUUAGACUAGGAAAGGAUCUUGGAACAGUCUGGUCCACUGGUUCCUGAAUGCCCGACCACGGACCUGC